UCUAAAUAUGGCAGAUUAGUGCAAUGAAUUUAAGCUUCAUAUAUAAAGAACUUAACUUUUAUUAGAAA
rnacentral:tRNA from 1 species